UAUACAGGCCUAUCUUUGUUUUUUGCUUUCAGUUUCAGAAAACAACACAGCUAUAGUACCCAUCACAAGCUGCAAAAAACACAGGAAUAGCCCUGCUAUCCUGAGAUGAGCACCUGCUUUUCAUUCCUCUAUUUCUUUGAAGUGUUCCAAGGUUGCCAGGGUGUCUCAGUGAAGAAAGUGGUUCUGUUCCGCUUACAAGGGUUGGUCUAGCUCAUGAAAGGUUUUCUUCUGUGCUCACCACUGCAAUAUCUGUGUGUUGGCAACCUGAAGAAACAGUGACAAAACAUGGAGGAAGCUCAGGAGCGACGAACUGACGUAGUUUCCCAAAUCAUGUGGUUGUGACAAACCAGUUGGCUUGUUUAGACUGAGGCUUGAGGAAGUGAGAAUGGAAAGGACAUUGGGAAUAGGAAUAGCCACAGAUUAUUGUCUCUCUGGCUGCAACUGUUGA
rnacentral:lncRNA from 1 species